AAAAUUUUUGGGAGGCCAAAAACUGCAAGCUCUUGAGCAACUGAAAAAAAAAUGUUUGUAUAUCGCUGAAAGUCUCAAACAGAUAUUUUCCUUGCAUUUUGUCAUUGCUUAAAAUUUGCCUAUAUAGUGACUUUUUUUAGCCUCAAAAUACAAGUUAAGAGUUACAUACUCAUGUUGGUCAGUGGUCAAUUUUGGUCAUCCAGUAUACAAUAAACGACCUAUCGAUUCCCCUUGACCUGUUUCUUUUCUCAUUUUCUGCAAAAAGAAGGUUCCUUUUAUUCUCUCUAUCGGAUUGUGCUAUGGCUGCAUCUGACUUUUCAAAUCUGCACCGCUAAACCCUUCCACCCAAAACACUAAGAAAAAUACUUACACUUGAUGUUGUUAGUUGGUUAAAUUCUGUUAUUCUUUCUGAUGGCUAGUCGGCAGAUGUUAUAGGUUCAUCUCUUCCCUAUGUGUUUGCUAUAUACUCAAGUUUAUUGAUUCAAAUAUACAAUCCCACCACCAUGUUCAUUCUAAACCUACAGAAAGGUCAGACCAAGGUUGAUUCGACACAUAUCUUUGCAAAUUCUGAUAAUUGUUUGAUAUCUUAUUGAAGGUUGAGAAGUUGUUGCUUAGACACAGAUCUAUAGUAUGUUGAUCUGUGUUAUAGUAACAUUCAAUAGCAUGAAGAAUGAAGUUAACUAGAUUAGAAUGGUUGCAUCAGAUUAGAUAUAGUAAGCAACAAAGAAUCAAGCAGUAAUCUGGUGUUUUUUUUUUUUAUCAAGCUCAAUUUAGUUGAACUGAUUCCUCAAUCCAUGCUUCCAUUUUCUUGACAAAUCAGUAGAAGCAAAUAAGGUUAGGGUUUUGUAGUUUAUUUUUUACUAUUAUUUUUGUUGUUGCGAUAUGCAAUGCUUACAUGAUCAAUGUUUUGACUUGAUAUAUGGUUGUAAGAUGAUGAUUUUGAAUCAAAUGAAGUGUGUCGUGUAGUGGUGGUUUGUCUCCUUAGCUUUGAAUGUUACGGUUUUCAUUGUGAAUGUGAGACUAUGAUUAGAUUAGGUACUCAUAUUUGUUGGUUUUUGCUACAAAAAAUUGUAAAUGGAUUGUUAUUGUAAGACUAGUGAGUUUUUUAGGAUUGUAUUGGAAAGCAAGGUUUUAAAUCACAGUCAUGGUUCGCAGUUGCAAUUUGGAUGUUUUCUUAAAUCUACGGUGGAAUGAGUAGUAAGAUCCAAGAAAACCUACAAUUUGUCAAUAAAAUGUAAUUAAACAUUAUUUCAUAAAAAAACCUACAAUUUGUUAUUUGAGUGUAUUAUGCAGAAUUAUUUGCUACAUCUCACUUUAGUUGUCUGAUAUGAACAACCAAAUGUACUGUUGGAUUUUAAAAGGACUUCAGAUUAUGUACAUAGUACAUUAUGGUUCCUCAAAGGUGCUCCAAUGUUUGUUUUCUCUACAGAGUGGAGUGCAACAUAAUUCUAUUGUUUUUCCAAAAAUGACUAAAGGUAGUUAUUCAGAAAUUAUUGCAGAUCAUGUCUGUAUGUCCUAAUGUAUUAGUUUGAUGCAUCAAUUUAAUAGCAAUGGUUUUCUCUAGGUUGAGACUUGUGAUUUUGACUUAUAGCCAUGGGUAGGAAGCAUUACUUUGAGAUUCACUUAAAAUUUCAAAAGCGAUGUAAGAUCAUAUUUACAAAAUUUUUGGGAGGCCAAAAACUGCAAGCUCUUGAGCAACUGAAAAAAAAAUGUUUGUAUAUCGCUGAAAGUCUCAAACAGAUAUUUUCCUUGCAUUUUGUCAUUGCUUAAAAUUUGCCUAUAUAGUGACUUUUUUUAGCCUCAAAAUACAAGUUAAGAGUUACAUACUCAUGUUGGUCAGUGGUCAAUUUUGGUCAUCCAGUAUACAAUAAACGACCUAUCGAUUCCCCUUGACCUGUUUCUUUUCUCAUUUUCUGCAAAAAGAAGGUUCCUUUUAUUCUCUCUAUCGGAUUGUGCUAUGGCUGCAUCUGACUUUUCAAAUCUGCACCGCUAAACCCUUCCACCCAAAACACUAAGAAAAAUACUUACACUUGAUGUUGUUAGUUGGUUAAAUUCUGUUAUUCUUUCUGAUGGCUAGUCGGCAGAUGUUAUAGGUUCAUCUCUUCCCUAUGUGUUUGCUAUAUACUCAAGUUUAUUGAUUCAAAUAUACAAUCCCACCACCAUGUUCAUUCUAAACCUACAGAAAGGUCAGACCAAGGUUGAUUCGACACAUAUCUUUGCAAAUUCUGAUAAUUGUUUGAUAUCUUAUUGAAGGUUGAGAAGUUGUUGCUUAGACACAGAUCUAUAGUAUGUUGAUCUGUGUUAUAGUAACAUUCAAUAGCAUGAAGAAUGAAGUUAACUAGAUUAGAAUGGUUGCAUCAGAUUAGAUAUAGUAAGCAACAAAGAAUCAAGCAGUAAUCUGGUGUUUUUUUUUUUUAUCAAGCUCAAUUUAGUUGAACUGAUUCCUCAAUCCAUGCUUCCAUUUUCUUGACAAAUCAGUAGAAGAAGCUCUACUUUGAACUUCCAUGCCAGUACUCUGAGCCUCUAUCUUCCUCUUGUAUGUGCUCCCUUGACCAGUCCCUCUCACUUUAAAGUUCUCUGAUGUGAACAAAAUUGACGGAUUCACUCUCUCACACAUCCACCACGGCAGUCCUACAGUGUAGCCUCACAUGGUGUUACUGCUCUUGAAAUGGCGAAGAGGGUGGAGAUCGCUAUAGAUCCUUUUCGUGCAAAUAUCUUGAAUUGCGAUAACAGUGGUUGUGAGCCUCCCGGUUCUGCUACCUAGCAAGACCCGUCUCCAUCUCCUUCCUCUCUUACCCCAUCUGUGUUUGAUCUCAUGGCCGGUGUUUAUUGUUUAUGAAUACAUUUACUUUCUAUGAGAUGCACUGAUAUAAAUAAGCUUCUAGAAUGGGGUAUUAGACACGAAACUCGACCCAAGAUGACCCAGAUCUGAGUGAGUUGGGUCAGUUCAGACUUCAGAUACCUUGGAAAAUAAAAGGGUUUAGGCUCAACCUACCCCUCACUAAUCCCACUCGGUUGGGUAGCGGUUUAGGUGGAACCCACCCACGUUCAGCCCUAACCUUAGUCAAAUCAACUAUGUAGCUAAGAGAUCUGGAUCAUGAAAGAGGAUCCAAUACAAGAGAAAUAUGGUGAGUGAAUAGUGACUUGCCAAGCUGAGUCUACAGGAUUUCUCGUUUGUUGUAGCAAACCUUUAAAUUAGUUUAAUUCAUGGUAUUGGAUAUUCCUACGAAACAGGGUGGAAAUAUGUAUUUUAGCACUAUACUACAUGAUCCUCUAGUUAGAUAAACAGAGCCUUUGUUCUUACAGGCAGACAUCUUAAUUGCCUACAUCCCAUAAAUAGUAGUGCACAGAAAAGGGUAAAUUAUACUGGAGAGUUGAAGAAUGCUCAAAUUACACUGGACUCCCUUCUAUUUAAAAAAAUAAAAAGUAAAAAAUUUCAUUGGUUGAGAGAUCAUAACAUUCUCCACUUAAUUCAAUUUCAAAAUACACAUGCUUCUUAGCAGUGAUUAGUAAUUAUGAAUGAGCCUUCCAAGAGCAUUCUUUCUCUCGCUAUGACUCUCAUUUUGCUAUGAAAUACU
rnacentral:lncRNA from 1 species